rnacentral:rRNA from 1 species
UAGAGUUUGAUCCUGGCUCAGAACGAACGCUGGCGGCGUGGAUAAGACAUGCAAGUCGAGCGAGAUUUUUUCCUGUAGCAAUACAGGGAAAAGUCUAGCGGCGAACGGGUGCUUAACACGUGGGCAACCUGCCGAGAAGUGGGGGAUAGCUCGCCGAAAGGCGAAUUAAUACCGCAUGUGAUUAGAGAGGACAUCCUUUCGAAAUUAAAGUCGGGGCAACCUGACGCUUUUUGAGGGGCCCGCGGCCUAUCAGCUAGUUGGUGUGGUAACGGCUCACCAAGGCUUUGACGGGUAGCUGGUCUGAGAGGACGACCAGCCACACUGGAACUGAGACACGGUCCAGACACCUACGGGUGGCAGCAGUCGAGAAUUUUUCACAAUGGGCGCAAGCCUGAUGGAGCGACGCCGCGUGGGGGAUGAAUGGCUUCGGCCCGUAAACCCCUGUCAUUUGCGAUCAAACCUUGUUAUUUAAAAGAUGACGAGCUGAUAGUAGCGAAAGAGGAAGGGACGGCUAACUCUGUGCCAGCAGCCGCGGUAAUACAGAGGUCCCAAGCGUUGUUCGGAUUCACUGGGCGUAAAGGGUGCGUAGGUGGCGAGGUAAAUCGGAUGUGAAAACUCGGAGCUCACCUCCGAAAUGGCAUUGGAAACUACCUUGCUCGAGGGUUGGAAGGGGGGGACUNGAAUCCUUGNUGUACCAGUGAAAUUGCUAAAUAUCAAGGGGAAAACCCCUGGCGAAGCCGAGUCCGCUGACACCCCCUGAACGUAGGCCCAAAACUUGGGGGACCACCCGAUUUAAAACCCUGGUAGUCGUGCCCGAAAAGGUGCCCUUUAUCUGAAAACGAUUCACCCUUUGUNCGCCG